UACAGAGGUCUCAAGCGUUGUUCGGAUUCAUUGGGCGUAAAGGGUGCGUAGGCGGCGCGGUAAGUCGGGGUGUGAAAUCUUGGAGCUUAACUCCGAAACUGCAUUCGAUACUGCCGUGCUUGAGGACUGGAGAGGAGACUGGAAUUUACGGUGUAGCGGUGAAAUGCGUAGAUAUCGUAAGGAAGACCAGUGGCGGAAGGCGG
rnacentral:rRNA from 1 species